ensembl:ncRNA lncRNA:CR45531 long non-coding RNA:CR45531
GAGCAAAAAAGUGGGAGUCGUGGAGCACAGAUGCGGUGGGUGCGGAGGGCAUAGAAAGCGAUAGGCAGAAGAGAUGUUCGGGAGGAGCGUGGAAAGGGAGGGGCAGAAGCACACCUGAAAGUCAUAGUCAUAACGGGUUGUUGUUCUUGUUGUCUGUGCGUUGUUUUUGUUGGUUAGGCGAAAAAAAAAAAAAAUAAGAAGAGUAUGAAGCAAGAAUCAAAGCAAGGUAAAUGCAAAAACAAACAAAAGGAAAAGGGGAUGAAUGCGCGGAGGAGGAGGAGGCCGAUGGCAGUUGGGAAGAAAGAAUAGGAAAAAGAGCAAAGAAAAUGAAAUCGCAAACAAAUAAGAAGACAAUAGCAAACUAAAAUCGGCGGCAAUGAAGCAAAGCGAGAAACGAGUUAAAUUUACACCAAGAAUACGGCGGAAAGGAGAAUGAGAGAGGUCGUAGGGGUGGCAUCGAAAGAGAGGAGAGGACAGACAACCCGAACUUUUCCCGAGCAAAGUUAUCAAUCAACCGAAAAAACGCUGUAUUGACCGGAUAUUUGUUGUACACUCAGCUCGGAAAUUCCCGUUUUCCGGGAAUCGAACUCAUUGUAAUGUAUUAUGCAUACAUACAUGCACAUACAUACAUACAUACAUAUCUAAAUUCCUAACGACUUCUAUUGAAAAAGAGAAUUUCAUUUACUCAAAAUUUGCAUUUAAGAACCAUCUUAUUUAAUGUGAGCAUUUUAAUCCUACUACUAGUUUUUUUUAAUGUGUAUAAGAGCAUCUAUUAAUAGAGGUUUUCAUGAAAACUACUCAUGAUCGCAAAUUUGUAUACAUACAUACAUAUGUACAUACAUGUAUGUAAUAUAAUUUGUUAUACAAAUGUUACUAUUCUUUUCCUCUUAAAAGCGGUUGAAAAGAUCAACAAUUCUUUCAAUUCGUAAUAAUGUCGAAGGAGCUCCUCACAAUUACAAUAUAAACAAACAGAUGUGCAGUAAAUCCUAUACUUAAACAUCAUAGACCUGCAUAGAUAUGUAUGUACAUAUGUAUGUAUGCGUGUAUCUAUGGAUAAAUAUACAUACAUAUGUACAUACAUGUAUGUAGAUAUUUGAACGGGUAAAUAUGUAUGUGCAUUUAAUACGAGUGCCGGGUGGAGGCGGAGGGGCGUGGCGAUGGGAGUGGGGCGUCUUUCGGGGGGUCGAGCGAAAAAACACAAAAUAUAAUACUGGGCCAGCUGCUGUCUCGCUCGCACCCGCACCGCUAAACGGGCUGGCCUUGCGCAACGCGCUCGCUUGCUCACACACACAGGCACUGUGCUCUUUAAUCUCCAGAGUUUACGAAGAGUGUGAUAAGGAGAGCGGGAGUGUGAGAGGGGAGAACACUCUCGAGCGGUCGCGAACGGAAAGGCCCCGCUUCGCAACGCGUCGUUUUGUUUCGUUUCAUUUCGUUUCGUUUGCAGCCACAACAAGUUUUUCAGCAGAAGAGCACGCGUGCAAGCGAGACGGGCAUACCAAAAAAUAAUGCCAACGCACACACACUCACAAAUAUCUAACCGUUAACCCAUUAAGGUCUCUGCGGGCUGCCCUCAAAAUAAAAAUAAGAGAAAAGCAUAUACUGCCAAGAUUUCGAUAGAUAAAAGAGAUCGCCACCACCGAUAAAGUUCUUCGGGGAUCAGCGAUCUAAGGUUUUUUUUCAUUGUCUGCUAGUAUUUUUAGCAGUGGGUUAAUGUCAUACUCUAUUAGUCAUCUAAUCGAGACCUAGGAAAGUAUUGUUAUGAUCGUUUUCUGGAUAAAAACAGUAUUUCAUGUAAAAGUACAAUAAUACUUGGGUUAAAUUACAAUAUGUUUGUAUUUCUCACAUUGUUUUAAUCUUUGACUAUAUAGAGACUUUUAUUUCUUCAAAAUCCUCGAAUCCGUCUAAAGUCUUAAGUUAUUUCUAAUCAUUUAAAUAUUUUGUGUCAUGUUGAUUUUGUUUUGGAGUUAAAUCCGUUAAAAUGUGUGUCAUUGUGUGCGUGCCACGUGGUAAUCGCGUACUCUAUUCGCAAUUUUGAUUAAACCACCCCCUUAUGAACAUAACUGCAAUUUUUUGUAGAACACCAUCUAAUCCCAUUUUGUUUGGUAUUACAAUUUUUACCCAAUUAAGAAAUUCAUCAAACCGAAAAAAUGUGUUUAUUUUAUAACAAGCAUUAUAACGCAACUUUACACGACUUGCUUAUCUGGGUAUGUCCCUCUCUUUCCCAUCAUCGCUCCGUCUCACUCGUUGCUUUUCGCACGCUACUCUGUUGCUGUUUUCAUUUUUUUCCCAUUUUUUUUUGUUAAUUCAUUAUUGAGGCCAAUUGAAUUUGUGUGAAGCAAAGUGUGCGAGUGUGUGUAUCUGACAGAGUGUGCGUGUGUGUGUGUGUGUGUGCCUAGCAGCGUGCUUGAAUGAGUGACGCAGCGACGGAGAGACAAAAAGACGGACGGACUUGCCUGCGCUGCGCUGCUUGGACGAGUACCCGGCAAGAGACUAUGCAACACGUUUAAAUAUGCGCAACCGACGAGCGACGAACAACAACACGAAUGCCGAACGAAAGGGAGAGAGCACAGAAACGAAAAAAAAUAACCGAACACACACGCACAUACACAUACCAGCGCAAGUAAUUUGGAAGAAGAAGCAGAUGACGGCAAAGAAGACGAAGCAAAAGAGGCGGCAAAAGCAAAAAGCAGCAGCUGAGCAGAGAGUUUGAUGACGUCGCCUGCCAAAGUCUAACUGUUCGUGGCACGCAGACACACACACACACACACUCUCAUGUACAGAUGAACUGGCCAUACCCGCUCCCCAUUGCCAACCCCCUCCUCACACCAUCACUGCAUUUUCCUUGCCUUUUUUUCGCGUCUUUUUAUCGAUGAGUGCUGGCUGUACUAGUGUUGUUC